rnacentral:lncRNA from 1 species
UCUCAAAGCGGCUAACAUUCUCCUUUCCCUUCCUCCCCCACAACAAACACUCUGUGAGGUGAGUGGGGCUGAGAGACUUCAGAGAAGUGUGACUGGCCCAAGGUCACCCAGCAGCUGCAUGUGGAGGAGCGGAGACGCGAACCCGGUUCCCCAGAUUACGAGACUACCGCUCUUAACCACUACACCACACUGGCUCUCAGGAUUUCAUCAUUCAUUCCAUCCCCCACUGAAGCUCAAUUCAUUGUUGCCCAUCCCAAGAAUAUAUUGGGACCCCCUUAAGCUCAAUCCCACCCAUCUGCCAUGAAAGAAUCCAACAAGAAAUAAUGAAAAACAGAUAUAGGAGAUUGCACCCUCCUCCUGUAGAUUCUCACUAAUGCAGAUUUAUUAGUAUUUCUUCACACAUGUAAUCUGCGCAAUUUAAUGAGCAUUUUGGCAACAGUUGCUCUUGUUUCUGGAGCAACUUUUUGUUUCUUCAACAGCAUGUUUAAUCUUUUAAGGAUCAUUGGAUUAGAUGUUUCCGGAACCAUGAAAAAAAGAAAUCGCCGUGUUAUCUGCUAACGGUUUUCUCCGCGGUCAAGAAUUUGCACUUUAUGAGUUUAUUGCACGCUGACACAAUAGCUGUUCCUGUUUACCUAUUAUUUAAGUGAAAAAGUCAGGAAACAUUCUAAAAUCAAAUUCACUGGCACCUUUUGGAAUUGGACGGCUGGCACUGCGAAUGUAAUGAUUUUCUUAAAAAUAGGGGAAAGUAUAACUAUAACACGCCUACCUCCAAAACUCACACUUUCUGUGAAAUUUAGGCAACUCUCCAUUUCCCCGUAUAUUACAGCUUUGGCUUAUGCAUGGUUGCAGAGUUUUGUUAUUAAGUUCUUAAUUCAGCCAUUAUUUUUCACCACUCCACAAUGCAAAUAAAAUGGCAUCAGUGAAUACAUUGUAGGUUCUAUCCAGCUGCUCUGCCGUCCCUUCCAAUUUCACCCUCCAUGUGGGCUUUGUGUCAUUUAGGGAGUCCAUUAUUGGUCUCCUCAAAAUUCUCUCAUUUUCUCUCCCUCCUCUUUCUCCCACUAGCAAUAAUCACCACAGGUGAGAAUGAUCCUGACCACCCUUGGGGGUAAUGAGAAAAAGGUAAGCAUUUUUACAUGCCAUGGGUUUCAGUGGGAGAGAAUGCUCAUUAAAUCUGUUGAAUUCAAAAUUACUCUUAGUUCAGAACGUCAGGCAAGAAGCGACAUGUCAGAAAUGUAUGAAAUUCUGCACAGUGUGGGGAAAGUAGACAGAAAGUAGUAUUUAUUCCUCUCUCAUAUAGCACUAGAAGAAAGCAUUUCUUCACAGAGAGCAGAGUUUAACUAUGGAAUUCACUUCCCCGAGAGGCAGUAACGGCCACCAACUUUCAUGGAGGACCACACAGAUUCAUGGAGGAAAAACUAUAAAUUGCUCUUAAAGAAAAAGCAAUUUACAGUGGUACCUCGGGUUACACACGCUUCAGGUUACAUACGCUUCAGGUUACAGACUCUGCUAACCCAAUUUGGUUAUAAUCAGUGAUUUUUUCUGGGGGUAUGUAGGGGUAUGCGUACCCCUAAACAUUUUGUGAAACUAAUGGGAGAAGAAACUAAAAAAUAAUAAUUAAAACAGUGAAUCGUCAGUUCCAUUGCUACCCUCAAUGGCAGCCUCAUUUCCUGUCAAGGUGUUUCCUGAGUCUCAGACUGAAGCGGGCGUUUAAUGUGUGAAGUAGGAGUUGGAAUCUAGCAUGGUGAUUGGUCAGUUUUGUUGCUACCACCUCCGAUGGUGGCUUCAUUUCCUUUCCCAGUGAUUGUCUUGAGUCAAAAUGAGACUACAAUGGUACCUCAGGUUAAGUACUUAAUUUGUUCCGGAGGUCUGUUCUUAACCUGAAACUGUUCUUAACCUGAAGCACCACUUUAGCUAAUGGGGCCUCCUGCUGCCACCACGCUGCCAGAGCACAAUUUCUGUUCUUAUCCUGAAGCAAAGUUCUUAACCUGAAGCACUAUUUCUGGGUUAGCGGAGUCUGUAACCUGAAGCAUAUGUAACCUGAAGCGUAUGUAACCUGAGGUACCACCGUACCCCUAAACAUUUUUUAAAGAAAAAAGUGCUGGUUAUAAUAAGGCUUACAUUGGAUUUUUGUAAUUGAAAACUAAUAAAAAUUAUUGCAAAAAGAGAGAGAAUGAGUGUGACUUAACCGUUAAAAGGUUGAGGUGACCUGCGUUCAGAUCCAUUCUCAGCCAGGAAGCUCACUGGCAGAGCAAUCUUAUACAUAUUUACUCAGAAGAAAGUCCCACUAGGUUGAGUGGGUCUUCUUCCUAGCUUAGGUGUGUUCAGGUUUGUAGCCUGGGUAACCUUGGGCCCAAUCACUAUUACACAGCCUAACCUCCCUCACAGAUUUGUUGUUUUGUAAAAUAUGAAAACAAAUCCAUCACUUUUAAAACCUACAUAACUGGGCAUAUUUAAAAUAAAGUUGGCUCAAGUGUCCUCCCUCCCUCCCUCCUCUCUCUUUUGCAAAUGCAAAGUAAAAAAAAGCAGGAAAACCUGAUAACUCGUAAGGACUCCUCUGAGGAAGAUUUUAAAGAACCAUUAGAGCCUUAAAUCACUUCAACUAGUUGGAAGAAAGUUUAAAUUUCUAAAUAGUAAAAGAGAAAGAAAACUAUUCCAGGAUCUUUUGAGUAUCUUCCUGAUUGCAAGGGAAAAUCUAUGAGCGCUUAGCAGCAAUUUAAAUUUGCAUUUUCAGUUAUCCCUGCUGAGGCCAUCUAAGAUGAAACAGUAGGUUUAAAUGUAAUUUACUGCAGGAGCUACUCAAGACUGCUCUAGCUACACACACAGAACUUGCAAUUAUUUUUAUGAAUACUCCUUUGCCAAUUGCCAAUUUAAUUUUUUUUUUUAGCCCGGGGGGCGGGGGGAAACCUAACUGCUUGAAACCUUAUUCCCAGUCAGCAUAUAAGAAUAAGAUGCCAUGUGUUGAAAAAAAGCACAUAUCUGACAGUUUUGCCCCCAGUAAGGCAGAUGAUAAGAAAAGCACAAAAUCUUGUGAGGUAAACACUUUUUUUCUUCUUCAGGAAAGACAGAUGCUAGCACAGUUUUUAUGCUGAACAAUACCUGUAGUUCUGCCCCCACCACUUCUCACACAGAGAAGUUAACUCUGUGUUGGAAAAAUAUUGUGUGAAAGCAGCCUUGAAGGUUUUGCACGAAGUCUGUAAUAGUGUGGGACACCAGGGAUUUCUUCUCAGGACCCUUAAAAAACAAGGGAGGACAGGGAGUGGGGUGCGCUAUAUGAGAUUCUGGUGCAGAAUUCGGGCUUUGUAGGCAAAACAUGCCAGGUUCAAUCCUUGGCAGACCUGGGAAAGAAUCCAGUCACGGUAGACCACACUCUUCAACAUGGACGAAAGGUCUGAUCUGCUUCAAAGUAGGUUCCUGGUUUCCUGUUUAAGAAAAGGCCUUGGGCAGAGUAGAUAGGACAGGUAGGAUUAAUGGCAAACACCUAAAGAAUUUGUAAGGUGGGUGUGCUGAAUCUGUAGUUCAAACUUAUGCAUGUUUCUCCAGAUGCAAGUCCCAUUCGACUUACUACCAGCCAGGUGCGUUUAGGAUUAUAGCAAUGGCAGACCCUCCAAGUGUCCCUAUUUUCCAGAGACGGUCCAAGAUUUACAGAAGCCAUCCCAGUUUUUGAUUUGAUCCUGGAAUGUCCAUCUUUUCCUUAGGACGUCCCAAUUUUCAUUGGAGAAAUGUUGGUGGGUAUGGAGUUAUGCGAGCCCCCUGAGCCAAGGAGGUAAGUAACUAUACAUCCUUUAGAAGACAUCUGAAGGCAGCCCUGUAUAGCAAAGUUUUAAAAUGUUUAAUGUUUCAUUACGGUUUUAUGUAUGUUGGCAGCUACCCAGAGUGGAAGGGGCAACCCAGUCAAAUGGGUAGGGUAAUAAUAAUAAUAAUAAUAAUAAUGAUGAUGGAAUAGGACACCCCUAUUUUUAUUGGUGACACGGGUGGCGCUGUGGUCUAAACCACUGAGCCUCUUGGGCUUGCUGAUCAGAAGGUCGGGGGUUCGAAUCCCGCAACGGGAUGAGCUCCCGUUUUUCGGUCCCUGCUCCUGCCAACUUAGCAGUUCGAAAACACGUCAAAGUGCAAGUAGAUAAAUAGGUACCGCUCUGGCGGGAAGGUAAAUGGCGUUUCCGUGCGCUACUCUGGUUCGCCAGAAGCGGCUUAGUCAUGCUGGCCACAUGACCUGGAAGCUGUAUGCCGGCUCCCUCGGCCAGUAAAGUGAGAUGAGCGCUGCAACCCCAGAGUCGGCCACGACUGGACCUAAUGGUCAGGGGUCCCUUUACCUUUACUUUUACUAUCCUUAACAUUCCCACAAGCAGACUCCCACAUUAAAACCUGCCCCUUCAUGUUUGUUUAGCUACAGUUUCCCCCCCAACCAAUUGAAGGAAACAUUUGGAGGUAUUAAAAAGCAGAACUAGAAACUAAACAAAAGUGGCAGGAUUGUCACCAAGGUCCACACUUCUGCGGGUUCUCAGCUAGGGAAUCUGCCAUGAGUUCUGAAAUAUGCUGACUACUGUCAACUUCCAUGCACAGCUGUUUAUACAGACCUCCGUGGUUUUGUUUGGAUAAGAGGCAUUUGACCAAAGAAACCCCACCCCUGCCCUUUCAACAAGGCUGUUGAUAUAGCUCGCUCUUUCACCGCCUGCAGGAAGUCAUGGGCAAUGACGCAAUAUAAUGUUCACCAUUUUGCGUCCUGCGAUGAACCAUAAAUAUUCAAGGCGCAUAACAUCAAGUCCAACAUGAGCAACACUUUGGGAUGGGAGAUCUUUACCACACCUGCACUGCACGCACAUGUUUCCUCCGCUUUCCAUCCUAUCAGAUGCACAUUAUGAAAUAGAAUAAAAUGUGAAUUAUCUAGCACCAAUAAGAGAUCAGAGCAGGACUGCAGGAUCUGAUGCCCUCUGUUGCUAGACUACAAUUCAUGCAAACCCUGCCCAUUAGUUAUGCUGGCCAGGGUUAAAGAGGAUUGAAGUCUAUCAAUGUCGGGAGGUUUCCCAUUUCUAGAACAGAUGCACACCUGGCAGGGCAAAAUCUGUUCUACUUUUUUGUCCUAGAAUGAGUACCUAUAGCAUGUGAUGGAGAAAAAUAACAUGGUGUACCUGACACAGUGCCAGACAUUUUGCUGAUGAAUGAUGCCCAAAUUUUGCCCCCUUCACAGAGAAUGGGACUCAUUUGCACUCCCACAAUACGUGUGUUCAUAUUUUUCCAUCUAUAUAUUUCAUGGGUUGUUGGGGUUUUUUUAAACUUACCAUUGCCCAUCACAUGCUUCUAUAUUUACAUGAAUAAUUCUACCUUAAGACCAAGCCUGACAUCACUCAGAAGCAUGCCAGGUUUAUUUUUAAUUAAUAGUUGUCAUUGGCGGAGGGUGGGGGGAGGCAUGGCAAACAUUUUUAAUUGGGAUUACAAAGUGCAGAAAGGGGAAUAUUACCUCUUCUCCCUACAGACAAAAUCCCAAUGAAAAUUUAGCUCCCUUAAAUAAUAAUAAUAAAACCCUCCUAUUUACCUUCAAAAAAGGACUAAUCAUUAUAUGGGGAGGGCAAUUUUCACUGGGAUUGUGGUUGGAGAGAGAAUGUUCUUCUUCCCCUCCCCAUGUGCUGUAAUCUAAAUAAAAAUCCCCACCUCCCCCAUGCCUUCUAUCAUUUUCAAAAAAGGGGAGGUGGACCUGAUGUGCUUAUUAAUGGUGUGUUUAGUACAGGGCCGGAUCAAGACCUUUAGAGGCCAGUAUAUAUCUAAUUCAAAACUUAAACAAGAAUAAAACGUAAAAUGAAAUUUUACUUUUCGAAAUGAAACGAAACCUACAGUAAGAUGAAAAAUAAUGUUUAUUUUUGUAAACUUUACUUAUAUUCGGGGGGUGUAUCCUGCUUUUUCUAACUGCAAUUCUAUCAGAGCCUCAAAACUAAUCUUACGUAACACAUCUACUUCUAAACUUAGUGGAUAUAAGGCAUCCAGCUGGCCUUGCUGCGUAGUUGUUCCGUUCUGAUUUUUAAUAUAUUUCAACUGAGAAAAUGAAUGCUCAGCCGAGCAAUUUGGGACCAUGAAUGUUAAAAAUCCAACAAUGGGAAAUUUCUUUGGCGCCCUCCUUCCCUUGAUGCCCUAAACAUGUGCUUAUUUUGCUUAAUGGUUAAUCUAGCCCUGGUUUAGCAUCAUGUCUAGUUUGUCUCUUAGCAAUUGUUCCUAAGUUAACAAAUAAUGUGUUCUUUAAAAAAAAACCCAGCUUUGAAUCUGCACUGCACAAAAUACUUCCAAAAGCUUCCUUUCCCCCACUUUCCCGUUGUUCUUGUCCUCAAGCCUCUCCUUUCAGAGACGCAGCUCUCCGUGAGCUGCCGCUUCUGCACAGUUGCAGACAGUUGCAGUGCCUUGCAGCUUGUGAUACCCAGAGACAUUCUCCCAGAGCGCAUUUGCCUGGCUUCUCUGAACUCUCCACUCCUCACACCUCUGCAGGCACAUCUUCUGCAGAUAAAGGUAAAGGACCCCUGACAGUUUAGUCCAGUCACGAACAACUCUGGGGUUGCGGCGCUCAUCUCGCUUUACUGGCCGAGGGAGCCAGUGUACAGCUUCUGGGUCAUGUGGUCAGCAUGACUAAGCCACUUCUGGCGAACCAGAGCAGCGCACGGAAAUGCCAUUUACCUUCCUGUCAGAGCAGUUCCUAUUUAUCUACUUGCACUUCAUGCUAUCGAACUGCUAGGUUGGCAGGAGCUGGGACCGAGCAACGGGAGCUCACCCCAUCGCGGGGAUUCGAACCGCUGACCUUCCAGCUGGCAAGCCCAAGGCUCAGUGGUUUACACCACAGCACCACCUGCACCCUUGCCUUCUUCUGCAGAUAAGACUACAUAAAGAUACACCUGGCACAAGCAUGCAUGCAAAGCAAGCAUGCAAAGUAGGUGCCCAAACUCCAGAACAACCCACACCGACCCCUCAUCCCCUCUUUUCUUUGAGGGGCACAACAGCUCUCUUCCAAAAGGAAAUGAUACUAGUUGUGAGUCUCAGUCAAAAAAACCCUGUUUUCCAGCCACAUUUGCUCACACUGAAUAUUGUUUCCCUCCAGCCUUGGGCUCUGGCCAGACUCUAAAACCCAUGCAUUUCUGUCUUGAUGUCUACAGUUAACUUGCAUUUCUUCAUUAUCCUUUUGCCAGCUGGUGAUAUUAAAAUAUACCAUGUCCUAAGGGGCUGUAUCAAUUACACGAGCAUUAAAAAAGAAAAAUCAAAGGCAAGAGCAGAGGCAGUUUUUCUCCUUUAAAAAAUGAGCAAGUGCUUCUUAUAAAAUAUUAAGCUUCGCACCCCCCUCCAAAUUGUAGCUUUUUCAGAUGACAUAUGCUGAGUACGAGUAUUCCCCACAAGCUGUGUGUGCUUAUUGCCUGAAUGUUAUUUCAACGUAUGGUCUGUAAAAAACAGGGGCCGGCAGGUAAGGGCUGCUCCACAAGUUAGGUGGCACGUGAGCAUGAGCACAUAAUGUCUGAAUGAGACCUGAAUGUCUGUAUAUACAUGAAAGCCGUGUCCCAAGAGCUGCCAUUGGCUACAGUUCCCUAAAAUAUACGUGUUUCACAGAGACUAAGCCUCUCGUUUCAUAGGUAAGGGUAUUCCAUGGGAAUGAUGGGUUGAGACAAAGAGCUGUUAUAAAGAAAAACAGCUCCUUUUCCCUUAUGGGGUCCCCAAGAGCCCAUACAGAGUCCUUUUUUAGGUUCUCUAUCGGUAGGAGAAAAUAACAGAGGCAAACCAGAGAAUAUUGAGAAGCAAAGCAGCUAGUAAGCCUGAUCUUUAUUAAAGCUGUUGCAACAGGGCACUCCUCCCACACGCAGGAGGCAGGAAGAGGACCCCGAACCACAAGCCCUUAUAUAGACUUUUGAACUGCCCAUCUUGGAGCACAAGACCACCCCCCCAAUACAUCAUACAUACAUCAGAGAAGGGGCGGAUUACAACAGAAAUCUGAGUGUGUUGAUUUUAUCCUGUUUGCCAGGUUACCUGAUUGGAUUACCUGGGCAUCGUGGCCACUCUCUUGUUAUGAUAACUACUCAAUUCCUGAAUCCAGGUCACAGGUCACAGGCUCACCCUAUUCAUAUCUUAAAUGUGCCUUUGAGACAGGAUUUGUGAGCAAAGACACAAUGGGCAGGCUCCCCAUUUCCUUCGACCUUGCAAAGAAAUAUUUGAGGUCAAUUUGGAAGAGAGAAUGGUUUCAGGAUUUUUCCUGUACUGAUUCAGACAUGUGGUUUAUAUAUUUAUGUAUGUGUUUGCCUGGUACAUUUAUUUUAGAUCAUGGGUGGGCAAACUAAGGCCCAGGGGCCGCAUCCAGCCCCAUCACCUUCUAAAUCCGGCCCGCGGACGGUCUGGGAAUCAGCGUGUUUUUACAUGAGUAGAAUGUGUCCCUUUAUUUAAAAUGUAUCUCUGGGUUAUUUGUGGGGCAUAUGAAUUCGUUCAUUAUUUUUUUUCAAAAUAUAGUCCAGCCUCCCCCCCCCCAAGGUCUGAGGGACAGUGGACCGGCCCCCUGCUGAAAAAGUUUGCUGACCCCUGUCUUAGACCUUAUAAUUCUUAUAACAGAGCAAUGCCAUCUGAUACAUAAAGCAUGAAUUGCUCCCGAAAUGAAUAUCAAAAGCAUAAGCCAAGAGUAGCCAAUUUUCUUUUGACUACAACUCCCAUCAUCCCUGACCCUUGGCUGUGCUGGCUAGAGCUGAUGGGAGUUGUAUUCCAACAGCAUCUGAGGCCUCCCAAGUUGGCUGCCCGUGUAAAAAGCUGUUGGUGAGGCAUUGAUAUAUACUGUGAAGUCUGAUAUCUUUCUUUUCCAUCACACUGCAAUCCAUAAAUGCCUCACUCCUUGAGGUGGAGGAGCUAACCCAGAAUGAGGAUAGCUUGGAUAGCUCAGCUGGGGAGAGCGUGGUGCUGAUGACGCCAAGGUUGCAGGUUCGAAUCCUGUACGGGGCAGCUGCAUAUUCCUGCUUUGCAGGGCGUUGGACUAGCAUAUCCUCAGGGUCCCUUUAAUCUCGACAAUUCUCUGAGAUGAGGUAGCAGCAUUGGAGAUGGGAGGGACAUUUGGUUCAGUUUGCAUUCUAACGUGCAGCUACAUAAUUUGCGCUUAAACAAGGGGAACGCAAAAUGAAGCCUACCCUUUAGAAUUGGCAUUUCCCCAAACUGCAUGCAAAAAUUUGUAUACUAAGAGAAAUCCCCACAUCACUCUGUCACUGCGUCCUAAGAAUGGGCUGGGGUGUUUUCUCCCCAUAAAUCAGGGCUGCUGCUGCUGCAUUAUUAUUAUUUAAAGUGCAGAUUUGUAAUCUGCGCCAAGCAACUGCUGAAGGCAGCUGUCUCUCUCACACUUAAUGGCUGACCUGGCUGUGCUUCAAACUACAUGCAGUCAUAAAGCAUUUGUGUACAGGAUAUUGUGUUCAUUUUCACUAAGCUCAUGAUGAACCCCAUGAAGGUGAGGGGGAGUGAAAAAUCUCCCUUGCUCCAAUACUGGUGCCUUACAAUUAUCUGAACUGUGUGUGUGUGUGUGUGUGUGUGAGAGAGAGAGAGAGAGAGAGAGAGAGAGAGAGAGAGAUGAGAAAAAAGAAUACAGUAUUCAGGAUUGAGGCUGGGAGUGGGGGAAAUGAUAUUUAAUAUUCUGCAUUCUCCCUCAAUUGAAAAGCAUUUUGAAACAUGGAAACAAUAGUAGAAUUGUUGCCGUCAACAAUACUGGUCAAGGCUUCAGUGAUACUCAUACAAAUCAUGAACAAUGCAUUCAUCAAGUUGGAAAACUGAGGCUUUGUGCGAUUGAAAAGAGCGCUUUUGAAAAGUAAUUGAACAAAUGUACUUCUUCCCUUCCCUUUUACAGUGCAUUCCUCGGGGGUUAGCAAAAUGGCAAAAGGCUACAUACUUUAUCGUGCAUCAGCAAUUUUUUGCAUGUGCAGCCCUACAGGAAUGAAACUAUAGCUUUGUUUCACAAGGAGUUUCCUCAGCCCACAGAGUAAUAAAGCAAUUCUUCAAGCCAACAAAGAUGGAGUAUUUUAACCAAAGGACAUUCCUCAGAGAUGAGGCUCGCUGCUGAUUAGAAAAGGCCCAUUCUGCAAUUAAAAUGGUGCCGCCAAUUUACAUCUUGAAAUAUUUGGAAUGGUAUCACAGAAGGCUCAGAGCAGCUGUCAAGGAAAGAUGGUAUUUUCUCAUAAAGGCCUCCUUCAGAAUAUGAGCUACCCUUCCAGUUUUGCCUAGUAGGAGAUUUCUUAAAUGAUCCUUAAUCGUCAAUAUAAAUCAGAAAAAAUCAUAACAGAACAGACAGCCCAGGGUUAGUUGAACUUGUACAAAGCAGCAAUUAUUUGCUCAACAACCUCUCUAAUGCACUUGUAUCAGGGUUUUUUACUUCUUCAUGAGUUCAUGCCACAUAACAAUAAUGGAUUUUUAAAAGUGCUUGCUCUUUUGUUUCGGAAACAGAUUUAUCAUUCUGUGUUUUAAAUGGAUUAGGAAAACCUACCGUAAACUAAAACGUUUAACUCCACCAAAAAAAUAUUCUUGAUCGAACAUAGAUGUAAUAGGAGAGACCUAUUGGGAAUGUCUCACUGCGGCCAUAGUUCAUUAGUUUAAUGGCAGAGGCCUAGGCAAGCAGAAAGGCACCUCUGUUUUACGAGGUAUGCUCCCCCGCAGACACUCCAAGUAUCCCUAUUUUCCAGGGACAGUCCCAGAUUUACAGAAGCCAUCCCUAGUUUCUGAUUUGAUCCCAUAAUGUCCCGCUUUUCCUUAGGACGUCUCUAUUUUCAUCAGAGAAAUGUUGGAGUGUAUGAUAGGACAUCCCUAUUUUCGUCAGAGAAAUGUUGGAGGGUAUGGAGUUAUGCGACCCCCCACCCCACCCCCAACCAAGGAAAUAAGUAACUAUACAACCUUCAGAAGGCAGCCCUGUAGAGGGAAGUUUUUUUAAUGUUUAAAGUUUUAUUAUGUUUUUAUAUAUGUCAGGAGCCACCCAGAGUGGCUGCAGCAACCCAGUCAGAUGGGCGGGGUGUUGUUGCUGUUGUUGUUAAUGUCCCUAUUUCCAUCGGAUAAAUGUUGGAGGGUAUGUGGGAGGGAAUAAUUCCACAAAUUAUUCCCUCCCACUACAACAGUGCGGGCUGGGGGUGGGGAGAAGGCAGUGAGCACACUUGAAAUUUUGAGAACAUGUUGUGAGCACCAGUCACAAAAUGGCUGCUGUGGGGGCAUCGCAUGGAACAACAUUGCUAUUGUAGAGUUGUUACUUAACCACAAAAUGUCUGCCACAUCCAAAAGAGAAAAAAAGAGAGAGAGAGAGGACCACAAGAUGUUGUGUGCAUGCCUCUUCAUCUGCCGCCCCAUCAAUGGGAAAAGGACAUCUACAUCAGCCAAUGCUUCCCUUGCUGACAGAAGCUCUUUGCACCUUCUCUGUUCAAAACAGGAGGAACAGAAGAUGCUCAAUCCUGGUAUACAGUGAAAUGUGGGGAUACCUAAAGGGGCGUGUUCAGGAGGGGCUGAGCCGGUGCAAACAGGAACUAAGCAGAACCAGCAAACGGUCUCUCAUGUAUCAUGGAUUUCUGAGGGCAUAUUUACCAAGUCCAUUCAUAGGAGGUGCUGGUGUGCGCACUGGCAUCCAUGAGACCACUUUGGUGUUGUCUGCACUACAGAUUCCCCACUGCCACCGCCCCAUCCCAUGCCAUUCCGGAGGGUCCCCCAAACUUGAGUUGCAUUUCAGAGGACACAGUGAAGCAGAAGGGGAUGAGAAAGCCCCAUUGCCCAGACAGAGUUUUGCUUGCACUACUUUGGAUUCAGCUCAUUGUACAGACCCAACAAGUUCAGAAUCAGAGUUCCAGAGUGUUGUAAACAAAAUCUGCCCUUCUUCCCUUAUGGGGUAUCCAAGGGCCCAUAUAGAGUCCUUAAGUGGGUUCCCUACAUCACAGAAAGGGUGUAACCCAAGACCACACCCCACAAACAUCAUACCUACAUCACAGAAAAGGUGGUCUACAACAGAAAUUUGAAUGUUGUUGUUUUUCCUGUCUGCCAGGUUCUCUGAUAAUGCCUUAUUUGAUUGCCUUUCCUGGUAGUUUGGCCAUUCCUUUGAAAUGGUGAUUACCCAAUUCCUGAGACAAUGGGAAGGUUCCCUCACCCCCUCCCUCCUUGCAGAGAAAACAUUUGGUCAGUUUGGGAGUCAAAAUGGUUUCAGGACGGUCUUCCUGUGCUGCUCCAGACAUGUGGUCCACAUAUCUAUGUACGUGCUUGGUUGGUACAUUUAUGAACAUUUAUUAUAUAUAUAAGACCUUAAUUUUUUUAAUACAAGAGCAUUGUGUUUCAUCACCCCAAAUUACAAGCGGUUGUGCAACCGACUACGCCUUUAAUGCUACGCAGCCAAUAACCGUGAUUGUGGAGUCCAGGAAUGGUGGAAUCAUCAUGAGAAUCUCUGGGCAUAAUUUGGGACUUGCAGUGAACGUUAGAUGGAAAAUCCACUUGCAAGCCUAUCAAUGUAAUCAGUCGCUGAGUAUAAUGAAGUACCAAAUAACCUUCCUGGGAUUGCAGCCAAUGGAACAAAUUUUCUCUGGGUUGGCAAACGAGAGUCAUUCAGCAAAAGGGAAGAAGAGAGCAGGUGAAGGAAAGGGAGGUCUGGUUUUGUGGCUGUUUUGCACUGCAACUGCGAGUGUGAAAAAUCUGGAAUAUCCCAUUUGCACUCUGCUGGGUUGUACGAACAAUGAUCUCAUCGCCACCCAGCUGCCUCACUUCAGCCCAUUACUUGGAGCAAAUUGCAUGCUGCUUCAACAUUUGACCUUGGAAGCAUUUUUAAGAGGUAGGAAUGAAAAUCCAUUAGAUCUGAAAAAUGUGGGGGAAAUUAUUUUUAAGAGGGUUUGUAGAAAAUAAAAAUAAAGAACAGUAUAGGAAAUAGCCUGCUAAACAACACAAAUACUUUCUAACCACCCAGUGGUAAUAAACCAUCAUUAGGAAGUCAGGUAUAAUUUGAAGCAUGUUUAUAGAAGAUCAACGUUCAAGUUCUUAAACCUUUAAUGAAUCAAAAUCACCGACAUUAGACUUCAAUAGAUUUGUGCCCUCACAAAUGGGGGGCAUAAAAACCAAAGUGGAGAUCUCAGCAGAAAAGAUGGGUGGGAUUCUGCUUAUGAUAUAGGCUGUUCUUGGGCCUUGGCACCAGCUUCUACUUUGAGCCCCCCAAAAAUGGGCUACAGAAGGUAUGCCGAACCUCUAGAAUAGUGUGAGAGGUAGUGAGGGAGGCUGCAGGGGGAAAGGGAAAAAAUUGAUUCUGUAACCCACAUGCUGCAAGUUAAUUUGUUUUUCAAAAUAACUACAGUGGUACCUCAGGUUACAUACGCUUCAGGUUACAGACUCCGUUAACCCAGAAAAAGUACUUUGGGUUAAGAACUUUGCUUAAUGGGGGGUGCGGGGGUGGGGGGUGCCCCAGGUUCCAUCACGGAGGGGGGUGUCAAAAAGGAACAAUUACUGCCCUACUAGGGCGGUUCAUAAAUUAUUAUUUUUUUGAAAAUGCCUGCUCCAAAGGUCUUAUCUUACUACACUAGGGAUUAUGUAGCUAUACAGUGGUACCUCAGGUUACAUACGCUUCAGGUUACAUACGCUUCAGGUUACAGACCCAGUUAACCCAGAAAAAGUACCUCGGGUUAAGAACUUUGCUUCAGGAUGAGAACAGAAAUCGUGCUCCAGCGACGCGGCGGCAGCGGGAGGCCCCAUUAGCUAAAGUGGUGCUUCAGGUUAAGAACAGUUUUGGGUUAAGAAUGGACCUCCGGAACAAAUUAAGUACUUAACUUGAGGUACCACUGUAUUCUAAUUAAGACUGAGCUUUUCAAAAUGGACAACCAUUGAGGGAAGGAUUGGUCUUCUAGGACAGCAAUUUUUUCAAUUAUGAGCAGUGGGAAGAACAUGGACAUAUGCUGACUGUAUCUAGCAUUCCAUGUCUUCGGAAGGGCAGGAUCUGCACAGAAGAAGAGUUUGGAUUUGAUAUUCCGCCUUUCACUCCCUUUAAGGAGUCUCAAAGCGGCUAACAUUCUCCUUUCCCUUCCUCCCCCACAACAAACACUAUGUGAGGUGAGUGGGGCUGAGAGACUUCAAAGAAGUGUGACUGGCCCAAGGUCACCCAGCAGCUGCAUGUGGAGGAGCGGAGACGCGAACCCGGUUCCCCAGAAUACGAGACUACCGCUCUUAACCACUACACCACACUGGCUCUCCAGCAUUAAUCC